rnacentral:rRNA from 1 species
AGCUGGCGGCGUGCUUAACACAUGCAAGUCGCGGGGGGUGAGCAAUCACUCACCGGCGAACGGGUGCGUAACACGUGAGCGACCUGCCCACUUGUGGGGUAUAGCCGGCCCAACGGCCGGGUAAUCCCGCAUACGCUUCUCUGGCUGCAUGGCUGGAGGAGGAAAGCCGUAAGGCGCAAGUGGAGGGGCUCGCGGCCUAUCAGCUAGUUGGCGGGGUAACGGCCCACCAAGGCGAUGACGGGUAGCUGGUCUGAGAGGAUGGCCAGCCACAUUGGGACUGAGAUACGGCCCAGACUCCUACGGGAGGCAGCAGUGGGGAAUCUUGCGCAAUGGUCGAAAGACUGACGCAGCGACGCCGCGUGCGGGAGGAAGCCCUUCGGGGUGUAAACCGCUGUUACUCGGGACGAACUUCCCGAUUGAUCGGGAUUGACGGUACCGGAGGAGGAAGCACCGGCUAACUCUGUGCCAGCAGCCGCGGUAAUACAGAGGGUGCGAGCGUUGUCCGGAAUCACUGGGCGUAAAGGGCGCGUAGGCGGCUUCUCACGCGUGCGGUGAAAGCUCGGGGCUUAACUCCGAGUCUGCCGUGC